CAAUAAAUAAAUUUGUCC
rnacentral:misc_RNA from 1 species